GGAUGACGGCCUUCGGGUUGAAACCUCUGUUCAGUAGGGAAGAAGCGAAAGUGACGGUACCGUGCAGAAGACGCGCCGGCUAACUACGUGACAGCAGCCGCGGUAAUACGUAGGGCGCAUGCGUUAUCCGGAAUUAUCGGGCGUAAAGAGCUCGUAGGCGGUUUGUCGCGUCUGCCGUGAAAGUCCUGGGCUCAACUCCGGAUCUGCGGUGGGUACGGGCAGACUAGAGUGAUGUAGGGGAGACUGGAAUUCCUGGUGUAGAGGUGAAAUGCGCAGAUGUCAGGAGGAACACCGAUGGCGAAGGCAGGUCUCUGGGCAUUAACUGACGCUGAUGAGCGAAAGCGUGGGGAGCGAACAGGAUUA
rnacentral:rRNA from 1 species